UGGUGGAGUGAUUUGUCUGGUUAAUUCCGAUAACGAACGAGACCUUAACCUGCUAAAUAGUUAUAUUCACUCUGGUGGAUACCUAACUUCUUAGAGGGACUAUGGAUGUUUAAUCCAUGGAAGUUUGAGGCAAUAACA
rnacentral:rRNA from 1 species